CAUUCAAAAGUCAUCUGAGGCUGCUGCGGAGAUGCCUCAGUUGGUAAAGUGCAAGAACCCAAGUUCAAUUUUCAGAGCCCAGGUAUAAAAUCAGGUUGAAGAGGAGUAAACAUUUCUCAGAAACCACAAGAACUUGUGAAUGUAGGAAGAAGCAAAACAUUUUUCUGAAGGCCUAUAACAUAUGCAUGGGUCUUGUGCUGACACGGACGCCUAAAUGAUCAAGAUUGGAAGUACCAAAUACCACUUGUCUUUGCUUUGUUUGUCUCCCAUGCACAAGACACUGGGACUCUGUUUCAUGGACAGAAGGCUAGAACUUUCUAUUUUCUGUUUAUUUUAUUUCCUCCAGGGAAUAAGAAAAUACACCAAUCACUAGACUAUAGUUCUCUUCUUUCGGUCU